rnacentral:rRNA from 1 species
GAUGAACGCUGGCGGCGUGCCUAAUACAUGCAAGUCGAGCGAACAGACGAGGAGCUUGCUCCUCUGACGUUAGCGGCGGACGGGUGAGUAACACGUUGAUAACCUACCUAUAAGACUGGGAUAACUUCGGGAAACCGGAGCUAAUACCGGAUAAUAUAUUGAACCGCAUGGUUCAAUAGUGAAAGACGGUUUUGCUGUCACUUAUAGAUGGAUCCGCGCCGCAUUAGCUAGUUGGUAAGGUAACGGCUUACCAAGGCAACGAUGCGUAGCCGACCUGAGAGGGUGAUCGGCCACACUGGAACUGAGACACGGUCCAGACUCCUACGGGAGGCAGAAGUAGGGAAUCUUCCGAAAUGGGCGAAAGCCUGACGGAGCAACGCCGCGUGAGUGAUGAAGGUCUUCGGAUCGUAAAACUCUGUUAUUAGGGAAGAACAAAUGUGUAAGUAACUAUGCACGUCUUGACGGUACCUAAUCAGAAAGCCACGGCUAACUACGUG